rnacentral:rRNA from 1 species
GACGAACGCUGGCGGCGUGCCUAAUACAUGCAAGUAGAACGCUGAAGGAGGAGCUUGCUUCUCUGGAUGAGUUGCGAACGGGUGAGUAACGCGUAGGUAACCUGCCUGGUAGCGGGGGAUAACUAUUGGAAACGAUAGCUAAUACCGCAUAAGAGUAGAUGUUGCAUGACAUUUGCUUAAAAGGUGCAAUUGCAUCACUACCAGAUGGACCUGCGUUGUAUUAGCUAGUUGGUGAGGUAACGGCUCACCAAGGCGACGAUACAUAGCCGACCUGAGAGGGGGAUCGGCCACACUGGGACUGAGACACGGCCCAGACUCCUACGGGAGGCAGCAGUAGGGAAUCUUCGGCAAUGGACGGAAGUCUGACCGAGCAACGCCGCGUGAGUGAAGAAGGGUUUCGGAUCGUAAAGCUCUGUUGUAAGAGAAGAACGAGUGUGGGAGUGGAAAGUUCACACUGUGACGGUAUCUUACCAGAAAGAGACGGCUAACUACGUG